rnacentral:rRNA from 1 species
UUGAACGCUGGCGGCAGGCCUAACACAUGCAAGUCGAACGGUAACAGGAAGAAGCUUGCUUCUUUGCUGACGAGUGGCGGACGGGUGAGUAAUGUCUGGGAAACUGCCUGAUGGAGGGGGAUAACUACUGGAAACGGUAGCUAAUACCGCAUAACGUCGCAAGACCAAAGAGGGGGACCUUCGGGCCUCUUGCCAUCGGAUGUGCCCAGAUGGGAUUAGCUUGUUGGUGGGGUAACGGCUCACCAAGGCGACGAUCCCUAGCUGGUCUGAGAGGAUGACCAGCCACACUGGAACUGAGACACGGUCCAGACUCCUACGGGAGGCAGCAGUGGGGAAUAUUGCACAAUGGGCGCAAGCCUGAUGCAGCCAUGCCGCGUGUAUGAAGAAGGCCUUCGGGUUGUAAAGUACUUUCAGCGGGGAGGAAGGGAGUAAAGUUAAUACCUUUACUCAUUGACGUUACCCGCAGAAGAAGCACCGGCUAACUCCGUGCCAGCAGCCGCGGUAAUACGGAGGGUGCAAGCGUUAAUCGGAAUUACUGGGCGUAAAGCGCACGCAGGCGGUUUGUUAAGUCAGAUGUGAAAUCCCCGGGCUCAACCUGGGAACUGCAUCUGAUACUGGCAAGCUUGAGUCUCGUAGAGGGGGGUAGAAUUCCAGGUGUAGCGGUGAAAUGCGUAGAGAUCUGGAGGAAUACCGGUGGCGAAGGCGGCCCCCUGGACGAAGACUGACGCUCAGGUGCGAAAGCGUGGGGAGCAAACAGGAUUAGAUACCCUGGUAGUCCACGCCGUAAACGAUGUCGACUUGGAGGUUGUGCCCUUGAGGCGUGGCUUCCGGAGCUAACGCGUUAAGUCGACCGCCUGGGGAGUACGGCCGCAAGGUUAAAACUCAAAUGAAUUGACGGGGGCCCGCACAAGCGGUGGAGCAUGUGGUUUAAUUCGAUGCAACGCGAAGAACCUUACCUGGUCUUGACAUCCACAGAACUUUCCAGAGAUGGAUUGGUGCCUUCGGGAACUGUGAGACAGGUGCUGCAUGGCUGUCGUCAGCUCGUGUUGUGAAAUGUUGGGUUAAGUCCCGCAACGAGCGCAACCCUUGUGAUAUGUUACUAACAUUGAGUUGAGGACUCAUAUCAGACUGCCGGUGAUAAACCGGAGGAAGGUGGGGAUGACGUCAAAUCAUCAUGCCCCUUAUGACCAGGGCUACACACGUGCUACAAUGGCGCAUACAAAGAGAAGCGACCUCGCGAGAGCAAGCGGACCUCAUAAAGUGCGUCGUAGUCCGGAUUGGAGUCUGCAACUCGACUCCAUGAAGUCGGAAUCGCUAGUAAUCGUGGAUCAGAAUGCCACGGUGAAUACGUUCCCGGGCCUUGUACACACCGCCCGUCACACCAUGGGAGUGGGUUGCAAAAGAAGUAGGUAGCUUAACCUUCGGGAGGGCGCUUACCACUUUGUGAUUCAUGACUGGGGUG